UGCAUCGGCCGGGAAUCGAACCCGGGCCGCCCGCGUGGCAGGCGAGGCAUUCUUACCACUGAACCACCGAUCC